UUUUGAAACUAAUUUCAAACAAAAAAUAAAUAAAGUUGUCCAUAAAUAAUAUGAAUGAAUCGGUCACUCAAAUAUUACAUUUACACCCAAUCACCAUUUUCACCUUCGUAUUACUAUAACGGUAUCGCCACUUUCAUCAAAGACUCCUGCAAAUCUAGCAACAUUCUUGUAUAUUGGAUGAUUAAUCUUUCCAAACAAAUGGAGUAGGAGGUUUUGAUGAGUGAUUCAUCUCCCCAAAAGUGUCACUCAAACUUACCUGAAGUUACCGGAACCGGAUCACCGGAUUAAAUCCCGGAGGCGGAGCUACAGCAACCACCGGCGGAGGCGGAGGAGCUACAGACACCGGCGACGGCGGAGGCGGAGGUUGAUUACCACUACUCAAUUCCGACGGCGGUGGUGCUAGUGACGGAACCGGAGGCGGUGGAGCUAGAUUCGAACUUGAACCAGACGAUGGCAGCGGCGGAGGAGGAUAGAGAUCGGAAGGAUUGGAUGCACCUGAAUCAGGAGUGGAGGUGAUCGGAAAGUCCACCGGCGGAGGAUAGAGAUCCGAUUGAGAGCAUGAGUCGCCGGAGCAGUUAUGUGAAUUAAGAUGAAUUUUAUGGCGGAGGACGCCGAAGCCUAACAGGAGGCCAGUAAUAAGGAGAACGGUGAUGAGAAAGAUGAAGAUCUUUGUAGCUUUUCCUACAUAACACAUUGUGUGUCAGAAAGAAGUGGUGGAUUUCGUCGUGUUGUUUGUUGGUUUUCUGUGCAGAUCGAGGGGUGGUGGUGGUCAGUGUUUGUAAAGUGGUGGUGGUGCAGUGGCACUGGCAGAGUGUACUUGAGUCCAAAUUGAAAGAGGUGAAUGUGGUUGUGUUGUUCAUAGGGUAAGUUGAGUCUAGC
rnacentral:lncRNA from 1 species